CAGUAUUAUUUGUAUUUAAACCUGCUGCUAAGAAAUCGGAAUAAUAUCUAGAGUAAUCUAAUUCGCCUGGUUUAAAACUAACAUUAUAAUCCUCAAUAGGAUAUUUAUCAUUAUUAAUUCUAAGCCAACAUCUCAUCAUAUCGAGAUUAUCAAAUAUCAUGUUAUUUUGAUUUUGAUUAUUUUCUUUUUCCUGAUAUUGAGGAAUCACAAAAAUAUUUAGGAUUUCAUCAGUUGUUGUAUUUACAAUGAUAGUACCACUAGAACUAUUUUGAACAUUACUUUUAAUGAGUCUUGCUGAACACCAAUUAAUUUCAACAUCAGAUGCAGGAUUUAGAGACAUACUGUUAUAAUGAACUUGUGGUUCUGGAUUCAGUUUUACAUGAGGCAACCACAACGAAAUGUCAGAUAUAACUACUUUAUAGUCAGGAUUUUUUUCAUCGGUAUAUAACAUGUCAUUAUUUCCAUUUCUCCAAAACACAAAUCUAACAUCAAUGUUUGAGAUAAUUUUUUUAAAAUCAUUAAAGAAUCCAAACAGUUGUUUUAAUGGUAUCCACAAUUUAAUUUUAUUGCUGUUUUUGGUUAAAAUCCAUCUAUCUGUGAAUCCUUCAUUAUACGAUGCAUUCUUUUUUAAUCCAGCUAGAAGACUUUGCAUUUUAGCUUUUGUUCCAAGGCUCUGAUCAUCAGCUCCAUCAAAUAUUAAAAUCUGUUUAUCAGGUGAUUCCGAUGUAUCAAUAUAAAAGAACAUAUUUGUAGCUUCUGAGGCAGAAUAAUCUUUUGUAAAGUUUAUAAGUCCAUUAAUAUGGUGAACUAGUGAAGGUAAUUCUAUUUCUUCAAUUAAUGUUUUACCAAUAUGUAAUUCAGAUCUUAAAAAUAAAUUACCUGUAUUUACCAAGGUUACAUUAUCAUCCCCUAUAGAGGAUCCAUCUUGUUUUGUAAUUUUUAAUUCUGGACAGAUAUAGCCACUAGAAUAUAAAAUAUUAUCAUUUACAUCUUUAAUAUUAAAUUCAUAUUUUGCAGAUUCUUUUUCUUCGAUAACAACCUUAUCUUCUCUAUGCUGUUUAUAGUCAAAACUUUCAAUUUCAUUUUUAUAAUAAUUUGGAAUGGUUGUCAAAUCCCAAAUCUUCUCCAUUUAUUAAGAUAAAAAUUUUUUUAAUCCUGUUCCAUAUUGACUCUGCAUCGUAGAGGGUUUUGAUAAUAUUUCAUUCAUUGUUUUUAUAGCAGGAGUCUUUUUUGAUAAAAUUUUCUCAAUUUUACUUUUUACAAAAUCUUUUGCUUUAUCUUCAAUAACUGUUUUAGCUUGACUUCCUAUUAUUUCUAGUAAUUUUCUACCAAUAGUUUUAAUAGCUUCGGUGAAGAUAUUUCCACCAUAGUAUUUCUUAUUACUGACAAACAAUCUAUGCUUAUUAUAAAUCAUUUAUUUAUGUUAAAAUUAUGAGAUCAAUCUAAAAUUAAACGAUAGACAACUCUCUGUUUGUUCAAAUCAAUCAAAUUAUCAUCUUGAUCAGUUAUUCUCAUUCUAAUUCUGUAGAUGUAAUGGUUUCUGUUUAUAUCUGCAAAUAUAGGAUUUAUUUCAUCAAUUUUUAUUAAACUACCAGGAGGGUGAGAUGGUGUAAAAGAAUAGAGAAUAUCACUUGUAUAAUCAUUGUAUUCUACACCACUUAUUACAUCGCAAUGGAUAUGAAUAUCAUCAACUCCUUUUGAUAUGUUUGCUAUGUAUUUUCCAGUCUGUUCUUUUUGAUCAUAUAUUUUUGGUUCAAAUCCUAAAAUUUCAUAAAGUUUUCCUUCAUUCAGAUCAAUCUUAUAACCAUUUUCUAAAUGAAUUGUAAAUCUACUGGUUGCAAAAUGAAUUCCAAACUUAAUCGGUGGUUCAUUCACUCCAAAAAAUUUUAUCAAAAAAUUGUUUAAUUCUCUUAGAGUAUAAUUUCCAUUUUCUAUUGUAACUGUGUGCCAGUUGUUCUUAUCGAAAUAUUUAAAUUUAUUGUUGUUAAAUUUUCCAUCAAUAUUAUUCCACGAAACCCACAUUGACAUGGAUUUCAGAGCAAGUUUUGAUUUAUCCACAGGAAUGGGGUUUUUGAAUUCAAUUGUAAAAUCCUCUGAUUUUUCAGAGUUUUUCGAAUCUAAAACAAUUAGUCUCAUUUAUAUAAGACAAAAUUCUCAUUAUGAUUGCUAGGCUCUUGUGUGAAUGAAUACAAAACCUGAACUGGUGAUUUACCUUUGUUUCUCUCUACUAUAUAUUUCAUACAAUAAUAACCACAUCUCACGGAUGUAGGAUUUUGUAGGAAACUGGAAUUAUACCUUAUUUCUUUAUUGG
rnacentral:lncRNA from 1 species